rnacentral:lncRNA from 1 species
UCGAUGUUAACUACCGAUGGAUUUUUGAGGGGUCUGGUGGCAUCCUUAUUUAAACAUUUUCCUUAAAGAAAUGAUGAUAAUUUAUUUUCAACGCAUACAAAAAAUAUGGUCCAUUGGGAGCCAAGGAAAGUAAAAAAGAAUUUGACUCACGAGGAGUGGUAUUCCACGUGGCUCAAUUCCGCCGUUCAUCGAACGUUUUAUCGCACGAAGUUCCAGGCCGACGGUACGCUUUUUGCUUUUUCUUUCUUUACUUUAAAAUAAACUAAACUUAUUAAAAUUAUCUAAACGAAAAGACCAAAUCUAUCACCGGCGGCUCCUCGCGCGUGCGUGAAAUCUAUCACCGGCGGCUCCUCGCGCUUGCGUGCGGACACUUUAGUGCGGUCUCUACCUGCGUGCAGCCACUAGUGCGGUCUCUCCCGGCGUGCGGGCUGAGUAGACACUCGUGAGGGCUCUACAUGCGUGAGGCACUCGUGCAUGCUCUACAUGCGUGAGGGCACUCUUGCGGGCUCUCCGUGCGUGAGGGCACUCAUGCGGGCUCUACAUGCGUGAGGGCAAUCGUGCGGGCUCUACAUGCGUGAGGGCACUUGUGGGGGCUCUACAUGCGUGAGGGCACUUNN